UGAUAAGAAUGUGACUUAUCAGCUAGGAACCCGGAAUAUUACCUCAGAUCAAGUCUUCUUUAUGGCAUUUGCUCAAGAAUCUUGUGAAAUUAGAUCUCCUGAAAUAGACAAUCGGCCGGAUAUUUUUGAACAUCUUCCCAGUGAUAUUAGAAUAAAUGACUUAUUGUUAGAGUAUGGACCUUUUUUGGAAGCCUGGAAUUGUGGUGAGAAACAGCCAUCACAAUAUUCUCCGCAUAGAUGCUCUCUGUGGUAGACCAUUUAUUGGGCCGCUGAUUUU